rnacentral:sRNA from 1 species
GAUCCACUUUCCAAACUGUCACCGCAUGGUGGCGUGGCCGGGACAACCGGUCUAGGAAGUGGAUCGCCU